rnacentral:ncRNA from 1 species
CAAAGUUUUGGUCCUAAACUUGCCGUUGUUUUUAACCAGAAUUACACAUGCAAGCCUCCACCAACCAGUGAGAAUGCCCUUUUUCCCCUAACAGAAAGCCGGAGCUGGUAUCAGGUUCAGCCCAUAUAGCCAACGACACCUUGCUACGCCACACCCACACGGGCCCUCAGCAGUGAUUAACAUUAAACAAUAAGCGAAAGCUUGACUUAGCCAUGGUUAACAAAGUCGGUAAAUUUCGUGCCAGCCACCGCGGUUAUACGAGAGACUUAAAACAACGCCCCCGGCGUAAAGCGUAACUAGAGGAUCCGCCACACACCUAAAGAAAAAUCCCCACCAAGCCGUAAAACGCCCACACGAAUGAGAACAACACAAACCUUUAGACCAAAGGCCACUUGACCUUACGAAAGCCAAGAAACAAACUGGGAUUAGAUACCCCACUAUGCCUGGCCCUAAACAUAGACAAUGUAAACACAACACUGUCCGCCAGAGAACUACAAGUGAAAAACUCGAAACUCCAAGGACUUGGCGGUGCUCCAUAUCAACCUAGAGGAGCCUGUCCUAUAAUCGAUACCCCACGUUAAACCCCACCACCCUUUGCCAAUCAGCCUAUAUACCGCCGUCGUCAGCCUACCCUAUGAAAGGAGAACAGUAGGCAAAAUAGUUAAUAACAAACACGUCAGGUCAAGGUGUAGCAUAUGGGGUGGAAGAGAUGGGCUACAUUUUCUGCUACAGAAUACACGAACGACCCAGUGAAACACGAAUCUGAAGGCGGAUUUAGCAGUAAGAUGAACAAGCAACACCAUCUUAAGCCCGCUCUGGAGCGCGCACACACCGCCCG